GAAAUUUGAGGCAGGAUGUCUGGAGUAGAGAAUUCAACCACAAAGUGAAUUGAGACUCCCAUUUGUUGGCGAAUGUUCAACAAAUAUUUAUUCAGCCAAUUAUGGGCGGUGCACUGUGUGCCCAAGACGGUUAAUAUUCCGUGACUCUCUUAAUCUAUCUCACAAAUUAUUUUCAAGGUAUAAUUUAUAUCUUUAAACAAUAGACAAUUACAUAUUAAAGUAAAUUAUAGUUGUUGUUAUUGUUCAAUGUUCAAUUGUGUUUGACCCUUCCUAACCCCCAGGUUUUCUUGGCAGAGAUACUAGAGUGGUUUGCCAUUUCCACCUGCAGCUCAUUUUACAGCCAUAAUUCCAGAGAACCAGUAAUGAAGGACGCUACUCACCACCUAACAGAGAAGAUGCUGGACUCAAGAUGAAGAAGGAAACAUAUUAUUUGCAGACAUGGACAGCAUAGAAAUGUGUUUUGCCUGAAUGCAUAUUCAUCAUAAGGAUUUUAUUUUUGUUUUUAAUUUUCAAUUGGAUGGGGGAAGGAAGAGAAAAUAAAAUUUUAUUAUUUAAAAAAUUAAGUUAAAUU
rnacentral:lncRNA from 1 species